rnacentral:rRNA from 1 species
UACGUAGGGGGCAAGCGUUGUCCGGAAUCAUUGGGCGUAAAGAGCGUGUAGGCGGCUCGGUAAGUCCGCUGUGAAAGUCCAGGGCUCAACCCUGGAAUGCCGGUGGAAACUGUCGGGCUAGAGUCCGGAAGAGGCGAGUGGAAUUCCUGGUGUAGCGGUGAAAUGCGCAGAUAUCAGGAGGAACACCGAUGGCGAAGGCAGGUCUCUGGGCCACUACUGACGCUGAGAAGCGAAAGCAUGGGGAGCGAACAGG